rnacentral:tRNA from 1 species
AAUUAAUGAACUUGAAUAAGUAUAUGUUUUGAAAACAUAAUAAAGAAGUCAAAACUUCUAUUAAUUU